AUGGCCGAGCAGCCUCAGCCACAGCAGAUGAAAACUUCCUUCCUUUUCAUCCAGCUGCAGCCCCCACCAACCCAAGCUACCCAAACUCUCCCCGCCCCUUCUCCAGCAACCGCAGUCGCAACAGCAGCCCCAGGGGGCCUGGAGGAGGGACACAUUUUCCCAAGUCCCAGAGCAAGCUUCUUCUCUGCUCCCUGGAACUUCAGAUGUACGCAGGGCUUAGCUCCAUCGCCUUCGAGUCUCCUGCCCGGGGAAGGCCCUGGAACACUGAGACCAGCUGCUUUCGAUUGCUACUCACUGAAGGAAAAGAAGGAAGAAACAGAGAAAUCUCAGAAUCUGCAUGUAAAGAGGAGUGGGGUUUGUGGAUCCCCACAUAGUAGGCGUUGCCUGGUCCCUGCUUCUAGGAAACUUGGCCUACCACAACAACUGCCAUGUAGGCUUGCUAGCCCAGCUCCUACACUGAAUGAUAGAAACAGCAGUCCUUCCAUAGGCUGGAAGCACCGGCCAGUCAUUUCUGCCCACGGGGACCUGUGGGAUAUGGACCCAGAAGCCAGGAAUGCCAUCGAAUUCUCAGUUCCACAAAGCACCCUGUCCUAUGCAGCUGACAGGGGCAAAAGGGCACUCCAGAGGAGAGGGACUGUAAACCAAGAGGUACUCCCAAAGAACUGUGAAGAAGACAUAGGUACCACAGUGCUGGCAACAAGGGCACAGCUCUUCAGAUAUUGCCCCACCAUUCAGAUCAGCCAGAGUUGCCUGGCCCCACCUGCUGCUGUGCCUCUCAAGAAAUUGGGGUUGGAAUUUCUAGUUUCAGAUAUGAGAAUUAAGGUGUGG
rnacentral:lncRNA from 1 species